CAUUGGAGUACUUACUGCUCAGUGAAGACUACUUUUUGCUUAGUCAGUCAGGAGUAUUUACACCUUAGUCAAGAGUGCUUUCUGCUCUGUCAGGUAGAUAAUUGACCUUCAGAAUUCUUGGUAACUUCAGUUUGUGCUAUUACAGAGUAGAAAUUAGAUGCUAACUUUAAUCCUGUUUUGUAGACCUGUUGUCUUCACUGUUGGGCUAAGAGGGAAACUGGUUUUGGAGUGACAGUUCUGAGUGUGAUAGGUAAAAUCAUGGCCCACCCAGAACCCCAUCUCCUAACACUUGGGACUUGGGAGUAGAUCACAGAACAAGCUAGAAGGAAUUCGGAAGUCAUGCUUGAGCUAUUGAUCUGGGAUGAUCAUGUGUCUCGGGUUAUUGGGGGCCCUAAAGAAUGUGAGAGUUCUUUCAGAGGGAGGCAAGAGGGUCAGAAUCUGGGGGA